UAAAUUUACAAAUUAUAAAUUUCAAUUUUUAAAUUGAUUUAUUACUUAAGUAUCUAUGACAAAUUCUUUUUUAAGAACGAUCGAUUAUAUAAUUUACUUUUUCCGUUUACCGUAACACAUUAAUAGUGAUAGUGUCACUUUAAUACCCGUGGGACGUUCGUUUGUAUAACUGAUAAAAUAGGUCAAGUUAUUUUCACCCGGUGACGAUUUGGGUAUAAAUUGAGCGUUUUCUCAUCAGAAUGAACAUUCACAAUCUUAAGCUAAUACACAAACAGACACACACACAGAGGAAAUUAUUUUGACAUUGCGAUACACUUAGGUAAAGACCACGUAUAAAAUGGCGGACAAGAAGGAUACUAGCGCGUUACUACCCGUAGCCAUGGUAGCGCUUUUCCAAAGCGGUUGUUUCUUGGGUGUCGGAUUAUUUCGUCCAGUGUUAAAGUUUCUACCAAAGGAUCCAGUGACGUUGAUAGGAACCGUGUACGGAUUGGCGGCGGUGGACAUGUUUGCGUAUUACUACUAUAAGAAUGGACAGAACAAUAAACAAGCGUGAUAAACAUGUUCACGUUAUCCUUUUAAACUGAUCACCAUACAUGCAGUGAUGCUGGAAUUCACCGAAUGUACUCCGAGUUCAUAGUUAUCAUGAUAUCAAAUGUUAUUUCAUAUGGAAUCAUGUACUGAUUUGUAGCAAACUAUCGCUAGUUCACUGUAUGAUUUACAAAAUAUUAUGCAAUAAAUAAAAAAUAGACAA